rnacentral:rRNA from 1 species
AUGGUCAAUCAUCGAGGUGAUGCCAUAUGGUUGUCGUGCAAGAUUGUUCCAUUGCGUAACCUUAUUAACAUCCCUCCUCGAACUGGGAGAAAGAGGGAAUGUCUUCGAUUGGUGGGGUAUGAUGAGGCUACCGAUGUAAUCUUUUUAGGUACCCACGACAGUGUCUAUAUGGUUCAACGCAAGUCAAUGCAAACCAGGAAACUAAAUGUGACCCAUUCUCCAUAUCGCUGUUAUCCUUUCACGAGUUUCUACCCACCAGAUACCAAAUCAAAUAUCAAACUUUGUUGGCAUCAUUGGUCAUGUUUGUUGGCAAGCUAA